rnacentral:misc_RNA from 1 species
AAAGUCGUAACAAGGUUUCCGUAGGUGAACCUGCGGAAGGAUCAUUAAAAAGUUUGGCUCCGGCCGACUGCGAAAAGCGCGAGCCGCCAGGAACUCCCGUCGGCGCCCUUCGGCCUGCCUGCAUCUGCCAGGCAUGUGCUCUGAACUGGAGGGGCGUACAAAUCAAAUCGGCGGGGGGGAAUGACCGGCCGGGCCUACGCGUCAACCCUCCGUGAAACCUCCCCUUUUGCUUGGGCAGCACACCCGCAGCUUGCCGUGGGCCGGUCAGUCUGCCCGAAGCACCAACCAAAACCACCUGUUUGAACUUUUGUCCGAACCAGUCUAAUGACUUUAAAACUUUCAACAACGGAUCUCUUGGUUCUC